UAAUUUCGUCGUAAAUUGAAAAACGCGGGACUGGUAACUUCGUCGUAAAUGAAAACGCGGGCCUGGUAACUUCGUCGUAAUAUUACGUCGCGUUUACGACGAAUCCUUUCUAUAUAUUGAGACGCCGAGACGAGACAGCCUCGUUCAUUCCUCCCAAAUUCCUCUCCUCUCCCUAAAGUACAUUCUCUUUCCUCCUUUUUUUUUUAAGUUAGUUUAGGUUAU
rnacentral:lncRNA from 1 species